AAGUAUGAGUUAGUGGCGGACGGGUGAGUAACGCGUGGAAAACCUGCCGUAUACUGGGGGAUAACACUUAGAAAUAGGUGCUAAUACCGCAUAACGGGGGAAGCCGCAUGGCUUUUCCCUGAAAACUCCGGUGGUACAGGAUGGGCCCGCGUCUGAUUAGCCAGUUGGCAGGGUAACGGCCUACCAAAGCGACGAUCAGUAGCCGGCCUGAGAGGGCGGACGGCCACACUGGGACUGAGACACGGCCCAGACUCCUACGGGAGGCAGCAG
rnacentral:rRNA from 1 species